CCUAGGGUUGUAAAGCACUUUCAAUUGGGAGGAAAACCUGCCGGUCAAUACCCGGUAGCUUGACAUUACCUUUAGAAGAAGCACCGGCUAACUCCGUGCCAGCAGCCGCGGUAAUACGGAGGGUGCGAGCGUUAAUCGGAAUUACUGGGCGUAAAGCGUGCGUAGGUGGUUCGUUAAGUCAGAUGUGAAAGCCCUGGGCUCAACCUGGGAACUGCAUUUGAAACUGGCGGACUAGAGUUUAGUAGAGGGGAGUGGAAUUUCAGGUGUAGCGGUGAAAUGCGUAGAUAUCUGAAGGAACACCAGUGGCGAAGGCGACUCCCUGGACUAAANCUGACGCUGAGGUACGAAAGCGUGGGUAGCAAACAGGAUUAGAUACCCUGGUAGUCCACGCCGUAAACGAUGUCGACUAGCCGUUGGUCCUAUAUACAGGAUUAGUGGCGCAGCUAACGCAUUAAGUCGACCGCCUGGGGAGUACGGCCGCAAGGUUAAAACUCAAAGG
rnacentral:rRNA from 1 species